UCGAACGAGUUCUCGUUGAUGAUCGGUGCUUGCACCGAGAUUCAACAUGGCACGAGUGGCGGACGGGUGAGUAACACGUGGGUAACCUGCCCUUAAGUGGGGGAUAACAUUUGGAAACAGAUGCUAAUACCGCAUAGAUCCAAGAACCGCAUGGUUCUUGGCUGAAAGAUGGCGUAAGCUAUCGCCUUUUGGAUGGACCCGCGGCGUAUUAGCUAGUUGGUGAGGUAAUGGCUCACCAAGGCGAUGAUACGUAGCCGAACUGAGAGGUUGAUCGGCCACAUUGGGACUGAGACACGGCCCAAACUCCUACGGGAGGCAGCAGUAGGGAAUCUUCCACAAUGGACGCAAGUCUGAUGGAGCAACGCCGCGUGAGUGAAGAAGGCUUUCGGGUCGUAAAACUCUGUUGUUGGAGAAGAAUGGUCGGCAGAGUAACUGUUGUCGGCGUGACGGUAUCCAACCAGAAAGCCACGGCUAACUACGUGCCAGCAGCCGCGGUAAUACGUAGGUGGCAAGCGUUAUCCGGAUUUAUUGGGCGUAAAGCGAGCGCAGGCGGUUUUUUAAGUCUGAUGUGAAAGCCCUCGGCUUAACCGAGGAAGCGCAUCGGAAACUGGGAAACUUGAGUGCAGAAGAGGACAGUGGAACUCCAUGUGUAGCGGUGAAAUGCGUAGAUAUAUGGAAGAACACCAGUGGCGAAGGCGGCUGUCUGGUCUGUAACUGACGCUGAGGCUCGAAAGCAUGGGUAGCGAACAGGAUUAGAUACCCUGGUAGUCCAUGCCGUAAACGAUGAAUGCUAGGUGUUGGAGGGUUUCCGCCCUU
rnacentral:rRNA from 1 species